UGGGCCCGAGUUUGAUCCUGGCUCAGAACGAACGCUGGCGGCAUGCCUAACACAUGCAAGUCGAACGGGAUCCAGGCUUCGGCCUGGUGAGAGUGGCGGACGGGUGAGUAACGCGUGGGAACCUGCCCAAUGGUCUGGGAUAACCGCGGGAAACUGCGGCUAAUACCGGAUAAGCCCGAGAGGGGAAAGAUUUAUCGCCGAUGGAGGGGCCCGCGUCAGAUUAGGUAGUUGGUGGGGUAAUGGCCUACCAAGCCUACGAUCUGUAGCUGGUCUGAGAGGAUGAUCAGCCACACUGGGACUGAGAUACAGCCCAGACUCCUACGGGAGGCAGCAGUGGGGAAUAUUGGACAAUGGGGGCAACCCUGAUCCAGCCAUGCCGCGUGAGUGAUGAAGGCCUUCGGGUUGUAAAACUCUUUCGACGGGGACGAUAAUGACGGUACCCGUAGAAGAAGCUCCGGCUAACUUCGUGCCAGCAGCCGCGGUAA
rnacentral:rRNA from 1 species